rnacentral:antisense_RNA from 1 species
UGUGGGAGCGGGCUUGCUCGCGAAAGCGGUGUGUCAGUCUCAAUAAAGUCGCCUGACACUCUGCAUUCGCGAGCAAGCCCGCUCCCACA